CACAGCGACUGCGGAAGGAUCAUUA
rnacentral:rRNA from 1 species